rnacentral:rRNA from 1 species
UACGGGGGGGGCAAGCGUUGUUCGGAAUUACUGGGCGUAAAGGGUUCGUAGGUGGCCAACUAAGUCAGACGUGAAAUCCCUCAGCUCAACUGGGGAACUGCGUCUGAUACUGGUCGGCUUGAGUGCAGGAGAGGAACGCGGAAUUCCAGGUGUAGCGGUGAAAUGCGUAGAUAUCUGGAGGAACACCGGUGGCGAAGGCGGCAUCCUGGACCGGUAUUGACGCUGAGGCGCGAAAGCUAGGGGAGCAAACGGG